UACGGGGGGGGCAAGCGUUGUUCGGAAUUACUGGGCGUAAAGCGCGUGUAGGCGGUCCGGUAAGUCCGCUGUGAAAGUCGGGGGCUUAACCCUCGGAUGCCGGUGGAUACUGUCGGGCUUGAGUACGGAAGAGGCGAGUGGAAUUCCUGGUGUAGCGGUGAAAUGCGCAGAUAUCAGGAGGAACACCAAUUGUGAAGGCAGCUCGCUGGGACGUUACUGACGCUGAGACGCGAAAGCGUGGGGAGCAAACAGG
rnacentral:rRNA from 1 species